GGAGAUGAAGCUGCCCCAGCAUUGCAAACUGCUAUAGCCUUGACUGCAGGGGAGAGGAUGGCCUGACUUUUGCUCAGAGAAUGGAUGCUGUCUCUGCUAAGCUUGCUGCUGUGACAAGUCCAGUAAUCCAGCAAUUAUUUCAGCAAGGCAGAGAAGAGGCAAAUGAAGAAUCAUAAACAUAUUGGAGAAUUUGGACUGCCCUAUGCUAUUUCCUUAACACCUCUACUUCAUAAGAUGUGUGUCACAUCCACAAAAACCUGGGCUCGCUAGUUUGUAGGAAGAAGUCUGAGCCUUUUAUUGCAAGAAGUAACCAGCUUGAAUGUAAAGUGUAAUCAUUUAUGGUGAGAGGACAUGAUUUCCACCUAGGAUGCCAGUCUGUCACAGAAGGAGCAAAAGGAUUGUUGCUGUGCUGUGGACCACCUCUGAAUUCAGGACAUUCCACACAUUUUAAUAACAUCUCUUUUUGAGGAA